rnacentral:rRNA from 1 species
GAUAAACGCUAGCGGGAGGCUUAACGCAUGCAAGUCGAGGGGCAUCACGAGGUAGCAAUACUUUGGUGGCGACCGGCGCACGGGUGAGUAACGCGUAUGCAACCUACCCUGUACAGUGGGAUAACCCGGAGAAAUUCGGACUAAUACCGCAUAAAGAUAUUUUGAGGCAUCUUAAGAUAUUUAAAGCUUAGGUGGUACGGGAUGGGCAUGCGUAACAUUAGCUGGUUGGUAGGGUAACGGCCUACCAAGGCGAUGAUGUUUAGGGGACCUGAGAGGGUGAUCCCCCACACUGGUACUGAGACACGGACCAGACUCCUACGGGAGGCAGCAGUGAGGAAUAUUGGUCAAUGGGCGGAAGCUUGAACCAGCCAUCCCGCGUGCAGGAAGACAGCCCUAUGGGUUGUAAACUGCUUUUCCAGUGGGCGAAACACUCGUACGUGUACGAGAUUGACGGUACACUGGGAAUAAGCAUCGGCUAACUCCGUGCCAGCAGCCGCCGCAGUAA